GAGUUUGAUCAUGGCUCAGAUUGAACGCUGGCGGCAUGCCUUACACAUGCAAGUCGAACGGCAGCACGGGAGCUUGCUCCUGGUGGCGAGUGGCGAACGGGUGAGUAAUGCAUCGGAACGUAUCCUGGAGUGGGGGAUAACGUAGCGAAAGUUACGCUAAUACCGCAUAUUCUGUGAGCAGGAAAGCGGGGGACCUUCGGGCCUCGCGCUCUUGGAGCGG
rnacentral:rRNA from 1 species